UAGAGUUACUGGUACGGUGGAUGA
rnacentral:siRNA from 1 species